CGGGGUGCCCAGGCGCGAAAACUUUGCAAUAAGCGAAAGCUUGACAGGGCUAUCCCGAGUGCCAUCCGCUGAGGAAGGCUUUUACCCAGUCUAGAACGCUGGGGGAAUAAGGAGAGGGCAAGUCUGGUGUCAGCCGCCGCGGUAAUACCAGCUCUCCGAGUGGUGUGGAUGUUUAUUGGGCCUAAAGCAUCCGUAGCUGGCUAAGUUAGUCCCUUGUUAAAUCCACCGAAUUAAUCGUUGGAUUGCGGGGGAUACUGCUUGGCUAGGGGACGAGAGAGGCAGACGGUAUUUCCGGGGUAGGGGUGAAAUCCUAUAAUCCCGGGAAGACCACCAGUGGCGAAGGCUGUCUGCUAGAACGCGCCCGACGGUGAGGGAUGAAAGCUGGGGGAGCGAACCGGAUUAGAUACCCGGGUAGUCCCAGCUGUAAACGAUGCAGGCUAGGUGUUUGGACGGCCACGUGCCGUUCUAGUGCCGCAGGGAAGCUGUUAAGCCUGCCGCCUGGGGAGUACGAUCGCAAGAUUGAAACUUAAAGGAAUUGGCGGGGGAGCAC
rnacentral:rRNA from 1 species